rnacentral:rRNA from 1 species
CAGGCCUAACACAUGCAAGUCGAGCGGAGUAUAUUUUUCGGAAUAUACUUAGCGGCGGACGGGUGAGUAACGCGUGAACAAUCUGCCCUGUACAGAGGAAUAGCCUCGGGAAACCGGGAUUAAAACCACAUGACACUUUGAUACCGCAUGGUAAUGAAGUCAAAUAUUUAUAGGUAUGGGAUGAGUUCGCGUCUGAUUAGCUAGUUGGUGGGGUAAAGGCCUACCAAGGCAACGAUCAGUAGCCGGCCUGAGAGGGUGAACGGCCACACUGGAACUGAGACACGGUCCAGACUCCUACGGGAGGCAGCAGUGGGGAAUAUUGCACAAUGGAGGGAACUCUGAUGCAGCGACGCCGCGUGAGUGAAGAAGGUCUUCGGAUCGUAAAACUCUGUCCUUGGUGAAGAUAAUGACGGUAGCCAAGGAGGAAGCCCCGGCUAACUACGUGCCAGCAGCCGCGGUAAUACGUAGGGGGCGAGCGUUGUCCGGAUUUACUGGGCGUAGAGGGUGAGUAGGCGGUUGUAUAUGUCAGGUGUAAAAGGCUAUGACUUAACCAUGGUUAGCACUUGAAACUGUAUGACUUGAGUGCAGGAGAGGUAAGUGGAAUUCCUAGUGUAGCGGUGAAAUGCGUAGAUAUUAGGAGGAACACCAGUGGCGAAGGCGACUUACUGGACUGUAACUGACGCUGAGUCACGAAAGCGUGGGUAGCAAACAGGAUUAGAUACCCUGGUAGUCCACGCUGUAAACGAUGAGUGCUAGGUGUUGGCCAGCGAUGGUCAGUGCCGCAGUAAACGCAUUAAGCACUCCGCCUGGGGAGUACGUACGCAAGUAUGAAACUCAAAGGAAUUGACGGGGACCCGCACAAGCAGCGGAGCAUGUGGUUUAAUUCGAAGCAACGCGAAGAACCUUACCAAGGCUUGACAUCCCCUUGACAGGUGCAGAGAUGUACCCUCCUCUUCGGAGGCAAGGGUGACAGGUGGUGCAUGGUUGUCGUCAGCUCGUGUCGUGAGAUGUUGGGUUAAGUCCCGCAACGAGCGCAACCCUUAUCCUUAGUUGCCAGCAGGUUAAGCUGGGCACUCUAAGGAGACUGCCGGUGAUAAACCGGAGGAAGGUGGGGAUGACGUCAAAUCAUCAUGCCCCUUAUGUCUUGGGCUACACACGUGCUACAAUGGUCGGUACAACGGGGAGCUAAGGAGCGAUCUGGAGCAAAUCCCAAUAAACCGAUCCCAGUUCGGAUUGUAGGCUGCAACUCGCCUACAUGAAGUCGGAGUUGCUAGUAAUCGCGAAUCAGAACGUCGCGGUGAAUGCGUUCCCGGGCCUUGUACACUCCGCCC